rnacentral:lncRNA from 1 species
UCCAAACGUACUAAAUGUAUGAAAGAAUAAACUAAAUAAAGUAAAUACUAGAGAUGAAUGUUAUAAAUAAAACUAUGAAAUCUUUAGACAUCUACUCGCCGUCUUCCUGCGAGACGAGCUCGGGAACCAAGUCUUCCUGAUCUAAAAUAGUUAAGUAAGGAAUGAGCUACACUAGCCCAGUAAAGACAUCACACUAUCUCACUGUCACAGAAGUAAAUGUUGGUAGAAAACAAAAACGACCAAUGGAGCAUAAUUUAUAACAA